rnacentral:lncRNA from 1 species
GGGAGCCUAAAAACAGAGAAGCUGUGCGGACACAGAGUGCUCAGAGUGUGCAAAAAUGGCGAUCGCCCAUUUCCUCAAUUGCAUCCGUCCGAGCCUCCCUCCGAUCAGAAUCGACGGAGAAAAGAAGAAGGGCAGGAAAAGCUUCGCGAAGAUCGUCGGCCGGGCGCAUCGAGACCUAAGGUUUUCGCUUCCCCUCUCUCUCUCUCUCUGUCUGUGACUGUCGGGCGGGCCGGCGGGGGCGAAACCCCUCUCUCUCUCUCUGUCUGUGUGUGUCUGCAGAGGUUAUGACUAGAACAGCCUUCUGCUGUUAGCAUAUUCGGAAGACUAGAAACGAGAUGGCUUUUCUAACCGGGUUGAACAACAACCUGCCGAAAUUGUGGCCUCCCCGGUAGAUACUGCAGUGAAGGAGUUUGAUGUAAACAGCCAACAGUGUCGAUUGGGCUGAAGCAGAAAUUGGAAUAGGGGCUCGGAAUUCUGAUGGGGAGCUUGUUGGUGGCGUGGCUUAGAAGCUCCUGAUGUGUGGAACUCUGUUCAACUGGCUAAGAAAAAAUCCUGGGGCGGCAUCUGCAUUGAAAUGAGUCUGACUUGUUUAUGUGUAAUGAGAUAACACGAGGCGGGGUAACCACUGGAUCAUGGGAAGUUGGAGCCUCUCCUAGUGGCCAUUUGUGGGGAAUUAGAGCAUUUUCAAGUUCUUUUCUACUGUUCCUAGAAAGCUCCUGAUGUUGUCUGUUGCAGUUUGCUGUAUUAGCCGACCCUUUCGUAUGUUGUGCGCGAAAUGUGCCUGUUCCAUUUUCUCUCCUUCUCUCUUUCUCCCUUGGUUUCCAUUUCUCUCUUUUAUCUUCUCCACUUGCUCUCUCUCUCUCUCCCUCUGUGCUCCCCUCGCUCUCUCACUGCGCUCCUCUCCUGCAGAUGUCAUCAACAAUUCAAAAUACGGUCAAUUACCCGCCGUAUGGGGUGGAGAAGAUUAACCCCAUGAUUAAGGCGUUGACCACCGUGGCACUGACCUUUUCAGUCGCAGCUGCCCUCAUUGCCGCCCUAUACUAUUGCUGGUGUAGGUGCAGGCAGCGCGGUGGAGUUCCGAUGGCGGCACG